UACAGAGGUCUCAAGCGUUGUUCGGAUUCAUUGGGCGUAAAGGGUGCGUAGGUGGCGGGGUAAGUCAGGUGUGAAAUCUCGGGGCUCAACCCCGAAACUGCAUUUGAUACUGCCUUGCUCGAGUACUGGAGAGGAGAUUGGAAUUUACGGUGUAGCAGUGAAAUGCGCAGAUAUCAGGAGGAACACCGGUGGCGAAGGCGGGUCUCUGGGCCGAUACUGACGCUGAGGAGCGAAAGCGUGGGGAGCGAACAGG
rnacentral:rRNA from 1 species